UUGAGUUGACAGAAAGCAAUUCAGAACAAGCACAAAACCUGGAAGCAAAUAUCACACACCCGGUUUAUUGACCUUGGCUCGUCUAGAGAUGAGGACGUGAGCUGCGUUUCUGUCUUCGGCGCUGAGUGGGACCACUUUUACAGUAGAAGAUGUAUACCAGGAGGAGAGUGUGAGCCAGGAACAUCGAGUAUGGGAUGAGGAAGGCCAAAGGAGUCAAAGAAACUUCGAGCACUUCCCAUGUGGAGGGAUGGAGAAGUGGAAGCCUUCUCCCCUCGCACAAGCCCUGUUGGUGCCGUCACUGGGGAGAGGCGUGUGGACAGUGGCAGGAGGGACGGCCACUGCGAACUGUGAGUUUGUACCCAUGAUAGUGAGAUGGUGUUCCGUUGUUCUGUGUGAUAGCUGCCUGUGCCCGUCCACCAUCUCUGGCUUGCUUUAUCUCAUGAUUCCGUUUCUCCCUUGAUGGAUGGAAGGUUCGCUCCCUUGGAUGGCUGUUAAAAUGGCUUUCUUGGUCAGGGAAUGUGUCUUUGUUCAGCCCUCAUUUUCAAAGAAUUUUUUCCUUGGUGU